GGGCCCGCACAAGCAGCGGAGCAUGUGGCUUAAUUCGAAGCAACGCGAAGAACCUUACCUGGGUUGAACUACUAAGUGAAGCGGUGGAAACACCGUGGCCGAAAGGAGCUUAGAUAGGUGGUGCAUGGCUGUCGUCAGCUCGUGUCGUGAGAUGUUAGGUUAAGUCCUGCAACGAGCGCAACCCCUGUCGUAUGUUGCCAGCAUUUUAGUUGGGGACUCGUACGAGACUGCCGGCGUCAAGCCGGAGGAAGGUGGGGAUGACGUCAAGUCAUCAUGCCCCUUAUGUCCAGGGCUGCACACGUGCUACAAUGGCCGGUACAACGUGCUGCGAACCCGCGAGGGUAAGCGAAUCACUAAAGCCGGCCCAGUUCGGAUUGGAGGCUGCAAUUCGCCUCCAUGAAGUAGGAGUUGCUAGUAAUCGCGGAUCAGCAUGCCG
rnacentral:rRNA from 1 species